GACGAACGCUGGCGGCGUGCUUAACACAUGCAAGUCGAACGAAGAGCGAUGGAAGCUUGCUUCUAUCAAUCUUAGUGGCGAACGGGUGAGUAACGCGUAAUCAACCUGCCCUUCAGAGGGGGACAACAGUUGGAAACGACUGCUAAUACCGCAUACGAUCUGACCUCGGCAUCGAGGAUAGAUGAAAGGUGGCCUCUACAUGUAAGCUAUCACUGAAGGAGGGGAUUGCGUCUGAUUAGCUAGUUGGAGGGGUAACGGCCCACCAAGGCGAUGAUCAGUAGCCGGUCUGAGAGGAUGAACGGCCGCAUUGGGACUGAGACACGGCCCAGACUCCUACGGGAGGCAGCAGUGGGGAAUCUUCCGCAAUAGACGAAAGUCUGACGGAGCAACGCCGCGUGAGUGAUGACGGCCUUCGGGUUGUAAAGCUCUGUUAAUCGGGACGAAAGGCCUUUUUGCGAAUAGUGAGAAGGAUUGACGGUACCGGAAUAGAAAGCCACGGCUAACUACGUG
rnacentral:rRNA from 1 species